rnacentral:miRNA from 1 species
UGGGUCACCGUGUUGCAGUGUG